GUCAACAACUAUUAUAAGUUUUCAUCCACAAGUAAAUUCCAAACAUAUUCCUCCAAUUAAAAAUCUGCUUGUAAUCUAUAUAAUCAUCUUAAGGCUGGACAUAGGGUUAUCCGACCCGCCCAAACCGUCAUACCUGAUCCGACCUGCAUACGUAUGAGCAGUUUUGCAAAUACAUUAGGAUCAGGUGCGGUUUGAAUUUUGGCUGAUUUUCGGGUUACGGGUUUGAAUCGCACUGCCCAACCUGCCCACAUUAACCUCAUUUUUUUUUUUUUAAUAUAUAUAUAUAUUUCAAAUCUAGACUAUUCAUCUUCAUUUCAUCUAUAACAAACAAAACUAAAACCCUAAUCUAAUAUCUCAAACUUAAAAACACAUCUACUGCUACGUAGCUUUUUCUUUCUUCUCAUCUCAUCAUCAGUCUCACUCUCUCGUUUUUCAUCUGCACCGAUCGACCUCGUAAGAUCGCCUCUCUCUCAUCACAAGAUCGACCGAUCGACCUCACUCCCUCAUUGCACAGAUCGACCUCAUAGGUGAAUCAAUGGAGAGAUGAGAGUGCUACUUGGCCUGUGGCCAACCCAGUCCUCACUUGUGCUUCAGUUUCUAAUGCUGGUUUCCUUAGUAAUUUUGUUACUGACCCUUUUCUUUAUGCACAGGUGACAUAAUGCAUGACAUUAUUGUGAAGGUGAUGUAAUGCAUGGCAUCACAUUUUACUAAGUCCCACUACACCAAACUGAAAAGACUGGGCAUCACAUUUCACCAAGUCUGAUCCGCAAAAACCAUUCAACUCGAAUUGUUCACAUUUAUUUGAACUGCUUCAGAUAAUCGUUAGUUUUUCUAUUUUGCGGGUUGCAGUUUUUAUCUAUAUCCGUAUUCACCUAUUUGUAUCUGUAUACAUUUUUUUUUUUUCUAAUUUGGACCGCCAAAUUUUCUUAUGAGUUUUGUGUAAAUAUUAAUAAUACAUGUAACCAUAAUAAUAAUGCAGAAUUAAACUUAA